UACGUAGGGGGCAAGCGUUGUCCGGAUUUAUUGGGCGUAAAGAGCGUGUAGGCGGCUUGGUAGGUCCGCUGUGAAAACUCGAGGCUCAACCUCGAGAUGUCGGCGGAAACCACUUGGCUAGAGUCCGGAAGAGGAGAGUGGAAUUCCUGGUGUAGCGGUGAAAUGCGCAGAUAUCAGGAGGAACACCAAUGGCGAAGGCAGCACUCUGGUACGUGACUGACGCUGAGACGCGAAAGCGUGGGGAGCAAACAGG
rnacentral:rRNA from 1 species